AUUCCGUGUCUUCCUCUGUUGAAUUGGAUUUAUCUUACCUUCUUUCACUAAGCCCCCGGGGCUCUUUAUCUCUCAGCUCAUCUGAAUUUUUUCCCCAGGUAAGGUCUCAUUCUUGCAGGGCCAGGUGGACACAAACUCAGCCAGGGUCAGUAACGGAAAGUAUUCAAACUGCACCCACUCCCCCUCAGUGGCAAGACUCCCGUGCUGCCUGGCUUCCAUGAAGAAUCUGGCACAGAAUACUGAACUUGCGGACAAAGCCCUGUGUG
rnacentral:lncRNA from 1 species